rnacentral:sRNA from 1 species
GAACAUCCCAUACCGUUCCAAGCUCACCGAGCGCAUCGAGCCCGGACAAACUCUGAUCAUUCGUGGAAAGACUAUCGAUGAGUCCAAGAGGUAAUCGAGAUUUUGACAAUAUUCAUUCGAAUUCUAACCCGAAGAAACUUGCAGGUUCAACAUUAAUCUCCACAAGGAUUCUCCAGAUUUCUCCGGCAACGACGUGCCUCUUCAUCUUUCCAUCCGUUUCGACGAGGGAAAGGUAGGUCAUUUGAUGUUCGAGCUUCUGACUAUUAUAGGAACUAAAACCAUUAAAACACAUACAUAAACACACAGAAAAAACAAAGUUUCCGCCCGAGAUAUACAUAAGGCUCGAUCAAGCGUAUGAGCUAUAAAAAAUUGGCGCUUCUUUCCAUCUUCUCCAUCCACAUAAUGGGUUUAACCGGGGUGACAUGAAUAGAGGGAGCCCAAUGGGACCCAGAAGCUCUAGCUUUCAGACAUCAGGAAAUUGGCUUGCUUUUGGCUUCACAUUUUCCCGUUUCUUCUUACUUCCUUCAAGCUUCUUUUUCUUGAUUUCUUUUUGAUGAUGUUUACCCUUUCGGCAUGUGUGAGGGAUGAUGGUGGUGAGCCGAGAAAAUGAUUGAUCCGUGCUCAUUGCCUUGCCCUUCACUCACUCAAAUAGACAGUGAAUCUGUGUCAGGUGAUCCCACACACACACACACACACUCACUCCGUUUCCAGAUCAUAUUCGAAAAGUGGCAGCGAGAAAAAACGCUGAGAUCAAGUGUAGGUUUUGAAUGUUCACAACUCCCCCUUUCUGAUACACCCUAGAAUAUAUGUGUAUUUUUUGUGCAUGCAUCAUUUCCACCGAACUUGUUUUUUUAAAUGUAUAGAUCAAUUUGGUUAUAAAAUUUUAAAAAUCGAUUAUCUGGAGUGGCUUCGGUCGACACAAAAUUAAGAGGUUAAGAAAAUGGUAGAAUCUUAUUAUACUCAUAAUAAAAUUGAUAGACCAAAAAACUCGUGAUAUCCGCAAUAAAACGAAUACUACCUGGGAAAAAACAAGAAGACCACGCGCGAUUGAAAUAGUUCAAAAACUGAAAACUUUUGUCGAAAGUCUAUAAGUUCAUAUUUUCGGAUCAAGUCGAUAAGUUUUAAAUUAAAAUGAAGAUUUAUUCAUUUUCGCUAAAAUUGAUGAAUUUCAGGAUAAUUUAAGACAUUUCUAUUUUAAUUUCUGAAAUUAAAAAUUAAGCUCAAUUUACUUUAGAAUGCGAUUUCGUAAAGCCUACCACAAACAACAAGAAACAGGUGGCUGUAAAAAAAUGAACACCGACAAGAAAGUGACUUUCCAUUCUAGACUCUAAACAAUUUUUUGCAGAUCGUCUACAACGCAUACACCAAGGGAACAUGGGGAAAAGAAGAACGCGCCAAGAAUCCUAUCAAGAAGGGCGACGAUUUCGAUAUCCGCAUUCGGGCUCACGAUUCCAAGUUCCAAGUGUCCAUUAACCACGUGAGUACUCUUGAUCAUUUUAUUCUGGACGUGUUUGGUCAAGUGCAUGCGGGUUAAAAAGUUAAAAACUUUUUGACAGGGCAUCAACAUCAAACGUCAGAAAAGUGUUAGUCUUCCCCUAGAGGGACUGAAGCCUCCGUGAACUCAUUCCUCGAGAGCUCACUCAAAAUGAGCAAAAGCAUUGAAGGAGGUUGGGACGAAAAACGAUUUUUCUCUUUUCUAUUGAAACUGGGGGAGAUUUUUUUUUUUCAAAAAUCACUCUUUUCCCGGCUAAAACAAUAGGAAUAUAAUUGUGGAGAGUUCGAAACAAAGACUAAACGUCUGGAACUCUUCCUCCCCAAUUUUUCUUCUUUUCUAUUUUGAAGAAAAACGGAAAUGAUGAGAUGAGGUUUGACAGGUGAGGGAACGAGUUUCUUGCGCCAUCACUUGAAAUGAGCCUCGUCCAUCAUCUUAUUUCAAAUAUCAGGGAUUGGGAUUUCCAGAAGAACUUUGAGCUAUGGCUCACGGCUCACGGCUCAAAUGUUCCAACGAAAAGAGGGAGCUUGUAGCUUUUAUGAUCGCUUUGUGGAAUCUUGUUUUUGAAAAAAAACCACUUGAUUUCGUGGAUUCCAAUCAAUUAUAGAAAUUCCAGAAAUUUGUUUCAAUUUUACAAAUGAAUCCGGACCAGUCAUUCGUCCGGAUUUCUAGAACCGGGUUUUUGGGCGUUAUUUUACCGCAAAAUUCAAUUAAAACAUUAAAAAAAUCUCACCUUCAUUCUCUCAGGUUGACAAGUAAGCUUUUUUGGGAAGGCUUCAGUUUAACAAGUUUUGAACCUUAAAAAUAGAAUAGAUCUCUAGAGUUCACAGUUAAAAAAAAAAAUCAUGAUCAACUUUAUAAGUUUUUAAUUUUGAAAUUUCUGCACUAAAUUUUGUAAACUGCAGUAUAUUUACCAACUGAAUUAGUUGAAUACAUUGUAUACAUCCUAGGUAUUUAUUUUUAACUGAAUAAAUCAAAACAUACAACUUGUAGUAGACAUUUGCCCUAUUCUAACUUGGUGCACAACACAAAAACUUUCACAUUUAGCCUCUAUUUUUAUCCCUUGACACAUCUGGCAGCCAACAUUUCUGACCAGCAGGAAGUGAUUCUCGAUCUCCGAUCCCUUCCGCCUCACAAAUUCUCACAGAGUCCAGAGUGGCUAACACAAAAACGAGAAAUUUUGAGUCAUUGUAAAGUCAAGUUGGAGUACCUCUCUAAAAUAUUCAUAACUUCCAUUUUGGACCUUUUCCACUUUUAGCUAGAAAGGCUUAGAACACUGAAUUGAAUAAGCUUCAGACAAAAGAAGAAGGAUUCAAAAAACUCAUCAGUGUUUUAUAAGAAUGUGCUCUUAAAUUUGUAUGUGGUGCUCCAAAGAGAAAUCCGAACAUUUAUGAGGCCUUAGGGAACGGCACGGUUCAGGAGCACAAAGAGUCGAAUGAAUGUAGAGAUAUGGGGGCAAAAAAUGGAGUCACACGCACACAUUCAUGUUUUUUGGUUCCUUUUUCCAAAACUGUGAUGCUCUCUUCAUUCGUCUUCUUUUUCUUCCUUAUUUGGCGGGAACCGCUGAAAAAAUAAGGAGAAAACUGGGGAAGAAAAGAAGCUGAUUUGUGUCCUAAAACAACGAAAGACGUGAAAAGUGGAAGAAAUAAAAAACAAAAACAAGGAAGAAUCAGAGGAAAUUGAGUGGAAAAGUACAAGAAUUUUGGAGAUGUUGUGGUUUGAACUGACACAAUUUGAUCAAUGAGAAUAGGAAUGCCUGAAUAGUUGAACUUUUCAAAAAAAAAGUAUUGUUCUAAGAGUUAAGAGUUUAAGAAUCUUCGGGUCACGGAUCUUUGUCUAAAGCUAAAACGCUGUAAAUUUUCUUUGCAACAAACUAUUAGGGCCCCCGCAAACUUAAAUGACGUAGAUUCAUAAGCCAACAUAUGGUUGGAGCUCUUGAAAAAAAGUUUUGUUUACGAUUUUUAAUCUAUGCUUCUCUUAGAGUAUUCUAGCUUGUAAUUGUCGCCCUAAAUUUUAUAUUUUUGUCGUUCUUUUUUUGCCUCUUCUGCAUUCCUGCAACAAAAAAACAAACUGAAAAAUUGUUUUUCGCCCCUUACCAAAUCUGUUUUGAGAAAUGGGGUCUCGAGGACUUUGGGUCAAUUUAUAAACACACCCCAGAAUUAUUCAGUGGGAACUUUGUUAAGACACGGAAGUAAUAUGAUUUUUUUUUCAGAAAGAGGUGAAGAACUUCGAGCACCGUAUCCCACUCAACUCGGUGUCCCAUUUGUCCAUCGAUGGGGAUGUUGUCCUGAACCACGUUCAAUGGGGAGGAAAGUACUACGUGAGUUUCCAUUCAAAAGUACUUUAUUUAAAAUAAAGUACUUUUGUAUUAUAAACCACCAUUUAAUAAAAUUUUGAUUUCGUUAGAUUAUCCAUUUAAAUAAAACCUUAUCAUCCUUGUUAGGCUUAGAAAUGAAAAAAAUUGAAAUUCUGAAAAAAAUUCAAAAAAAUUUCAAAAAUUUACUUCUCAGUUUUUCCAGAAAGCCUUUAAGCUCAAAAAAAAAACAUAAUAUGAUGUAAGCAAAAAUAGAUGAAUUAUACUCAGCAACUCAUACUAAACUAAUUUCAGCCAGUCCCAUAUGAAUCCGGAAUCGCCGCCGAUGGAUUGGUCCCAGGAAAGACUCUCGUUGUCUAUGGAACUCCAGAGAAGAAGGCCAAGAAGUGAGUGAUAAAUUGAUUGAAACUUUCAUAUCGUUUUGUGUUCAGAUUCAAUAUUAACCUUCUCAAGAAGAACGGAGAUAUUGCUCUUCAUUUCAAUCCACGUUUCGAUGAGAAGGUAGGAUUUUUUAUAAUGUUCAGACGCAAAUACUAAACUUCUUUAUUUGCAACUUCUCAAAACUAAAAGAUUAAAAAUAAAAACCCAAAAAUGCAUUCUCUUCCAUUUUCAGGCAAAUGGAUUUAUGUGCGCUAAGCCGACCCCUGGA